GGCGCAGUCGCGGGAACAGCGCGGAGCAGAGAAGCACCAAAAGAGGCAAACUGAGAUGCAGACAAAUGAUCAUCUGUAUGCUGAUCAUUUUGAAUAGUAAGUACCUGGGUGCUGAUACCGCGAUCAAUGUGACAGGUCCCUGCCCUCAAGGAGCUAAGGCCCCUAGCCAAUCUCUCUUUUUUUGUUGUUUUUUUUUUUUUUUUUUUUUUUUGAGACAGAGCCUUACUCUGUCGGCCAGGCUGGAGUGCAGUGGCAAGAUCUCGCCUCACUGCAACCUCCAUCUCUGGGCUCAAGCAAUUCUCCUGCCUCGGCCUGAGUAGCUGGGAUUACAGGUGUGCGCCACCAUGCCCAGUUAAUUUUUGUAUUUUUAGUAGAGAUGGGGUUUCACCAUGUUGGCCAGGCUGGUCUCAAACUCCUGACCUCAGGUAAUCUGCCUGCCUCGGCCUUCCAAAGUGCUGGGAUUAAAGGCGUGAGCCACUGCGCCCGGCCCUACCCUUGCCACUCUCUUAAACUCCUAGCCCCAUCUUUUCUCUUUUGCCAUCAGGUAAAACCCCAAUUAACCAAAGUAACAGAGUAGGAUUGCCACGGUUAGCUGAGGGUCUGUAGGAGAUUGCAUUUCAUAAAUGACCAUUUUCCUCAGAUUUGAUCUCCCACCAUGCCCUUGUGCUGUCACUUCAUAGAGAAGCUUGAAGCUGUCACAUGGGAAUCCCCUCAUUCUUCAGCUCCCAAAACUGCAAGCCUUACUUAUAUCUGUUCCUACCUUCCUUCCUCCUCCUAACCAA
rnacentral:sRNA from 1 species